rnacentral:rRNA from 1 species
UCGACCUCAGAUCAAGCGAGAUUACCUGCUGAAUUUAAGCAUAUAACUAAGCGGAGGAAAAGAAACCAAACG